rnacentral:rRNA from 1 species
GAUGAACGCUAGCGGCAGGCCUAACACAUGCAAGUCGAGGGGUAUAUAGUGCUUGCACUAUAGAGACCGGCGCACGGGUGAGUAACGCGUAUGGAAUCUGCCUUGUACAGGGGAAUAGCCCAGGGAAACUUGGAUUAAUGCCCCAUAGUAUUAUAGAACGGCAUUGUUUUAUAAUUAAAGAUUUAUCGGUACAAGAUGAUCAUGCGUCCCAUUAGCUAGUUGGUGUGGUAACGGCACACCAAGGCUACGAUGGGUAGGGGCCCUGAGAGGGGGAUCCCCCACACUGGUACUGAGACACGGACCAG